rnacentral:rRNA from 1 species
ACGAGUUUGAUCAUGGCUCAGGAUGAACGCUAGCGGCAGGCCUAAUACAUGCAAGUACGACGGUAAGGCCCUUCGGGGGUACACGAGUGGCGGACGGGUGCGUAACGCGUAUGCCAACAUGCCUUCCAGCGGGGGAUAUACCAGGGAAACCUUGGGCGCAAUACCCCCAUAGAAUUACGGGGACCGCAUGGUCUUGUGAUUAAAACUCCGGUGCUGGGAGAUUGGCAUGCGUGACAUUAGCUAGUUGGCGGGGUAACGGCCCACCAAGGCGACGAUGUCUAGCUGGUCUGAGAGGAUGAUCAGCCACACUGGGACUGAGACACGGCCCAGACUCCUACGGGAGGCAGCAGUAGGGAAUCUUCCGCAAUGGACGAAAGUCUGACGGAGCAACGCCGCGUGAGUGAUGAAGGUUUUCGGAUCGUAAAACUCUGUUGUUAGGGAAGAACAAGUGCCGUUCGAAAGGGCGGCACCUUGACGGUACCUAACGAGAAAGCCACGGCUAACUACGUG